rnacentral:lncRNA from 1 species
GAGACAAUUGCCUCAUCUGUGAUGGCAUCGUGCCAGCCUGAUCCUGCAAGUGUUGCUUUGAGACCGCAGGCCAGGGCACUAGCUGGGACACAGCAGGCAGCAGAGGAAGCACCAUGUGGGCUGGCAGAGGAGACGAUGAAAGAGACCUCAGCACUGGAGUCAGAAGAGACUUUGUCUCCAUCCAGUUCUGCUGUAGCAGGGCACCUUUGGGCAACCCACCAUAUUCCUUCAUCUGAGCCAUGGUGCCGCCCUCAAAAAUGGUUGGAAACAUUCAAUAAAAUAAUACAUAUGGAAACA